rnacentral:lncRNA from 1 species
UAUCUUUGCAGUCAGUAAAGACUGAUUUACAUGCAGCACACAAAGGAUAAGAUACAUCCAGACCAUUUCACAACCAUGGUCAUGUCGUUACUAAAUGCAAACCAGGUUUUCCUGUGAUUAGUAUGAUGCGUUUUGACUUUGCGGCGAGCAUUUCAGAACAGAGCAGAUAUAUAUUCGAGCUGGUAUCGAAUAAACUGUCACCCGAGUGAAACGUUGAACGUUUCAAAUUUGGGUGUGUGGGGAUUUGCUUUGCGCCAGCAGACAGCGCGACAUUUUGUAGAGACCAUUAGACUAUUGUUAGUUAGUUGGUAGGACUGUAAUGAUAAAUAAUUUGUAUUGAUUAUUGUAAUCCACAACAGAAAGACACGCGUACAUUGUUUUGUGUUGCUUUUACCUUGCGAGCAGAGGUUUUCGAUCGUUAUAUGGUUUUGGAGAAG